rnacentral:rRNA from 1 species
GGAAGUAAAAGUCGUAACAAGGUUUCCGUAGGUGAACCUGCGGAAGGAUCAUUAACGAGUUUUGAGGGGUUGUAGCUGGCCUUCCGAGGCAUGUGCACGCCCUGCUCAUUCCACUCUACACCUGUGCACUUACUGUGGGUCUCAGGCGAGCGUCGGUCGCUUCGCGGCGUCGUCGUUCAACUGGGCUCACGUUUUACUACAAACUAUUAAAGUAUCAGAAUGUCUACUGCGAAUUAACGCAUUUAAAUACAACUUUCAGCAACGGAUCUCUUGGCUCUCGCAUCGAUGAAGAACGCAGCGAAAUGCGAUAAGUAAUGUGAAUUGCAGAAUUCAGUGAAUCAUCGAAUCUUUGAACGCACCUUGCGCUCCUUGGUAUUCCGAGGAGCAUGCCUGUUUGAGUGUCAUGAAAUUCUCAACCUAACGAGUCUUUGCGGGCUCGGUAGGCUUGGACUUGGAGGUUCUUGUCGGCCUAACGGUCGGCUCCUCUUAAAUGCAUUAGCUCGGUUCCUUGCGGAUCGGCUCACGGUGUGAUAAUUGUCUACGCCGCGACCGUUGAAGCGUUUUGGCCGGCUUCUAAUCGUCUCGUUGGAGACACUACUCUUUAUGACCUUCUGACCUCAAAUCAGGUAGGACUACCCGCUGAACUUAAGCAUAUCAAUAAGCGGAGGA